AUUCAGGUGUGUCCCAGAGACCUCCCAAGGCACAGCGCACACUGUGUCAGCCCCUAACGCCAGGGCUGCAGCACAAAUGAGCCCACCCCUUCACAACCUUGAAGAGUCAUUUUCUUAACGAAGCAAGCUCAUUCUUUUAGCCCCAAUUGUUUAGGAUUGCAUCUCUGGUGACCCCACAGUGCAUUUUGCCAGAUCAGGUCCUUGCAUACUCCCACUGCUGCUUGUUAAAAGGCUUUACAAGCAAAAUCAAAUUCAAAGACUGAUUAAAAGAGGUGUAAGACAGGUUGUGAGGAGGUGCAGCUGCUUCAAGCACUGAAGAAGUCAUGAAAUUUUUCUGACCUGUGUGGGAAAUAACUUGGGACCAAAAGAAUAAUGGUGGGAAGAACUGAGAAGAAAGAUCAUUUGGGACACUAACAGUGAUGAAGAGAGAAAAGAGGAGCUGAUUUCUUAUUGGAGGAGUGUGAACAAGCCUCUGUUACAUGUUAAGGAAAAUGCUUCUUUCACAGAAGUAGCAGCAGACCAGCAGCUCCUGAAACUGCAAGAUAAGGAUUCUCACCUGACUACUCAUAACAAACACGACAAGCCUUGCAGAAUUCACCUUUUUUAUUCCAGGAAGAGAAGAAGGUGCACACCAGGAGACAGAAAUGAGGGAUGCUGGGCGACCUUGGGCAAGACACUUCACUUCCUUGUUUCUCUCUGCUGCUGUUUUCCUUGCUACCUUUGGUCUGUCUUGUCUAAUUAAAGAAAUCUAAAGCAGCAGUGCUCUUUGCACCGUCAGCACAUCCAGCCAAUAGGGUGCUGACCUCACUUGGAUACAACGGUAAUAAGUAAUAACCAUGACAACAAUUUACAAGUGAUGCCACCCAAUUCUAAUAUUCUGCCUUACAAGUGUUCGGUAACUUAUUAAAGCACACGUGUAAGUUCACCUUUACAACAGGAAGCUCAUCUUAACUCUAGUCAGCUUCAAUAAAAGUUAAAAGCUUGGUUUUU